AACGUAGGGGGCGAGCGUUGUCCGGAAUUACUGGGCGUAAAGCGCACGCAGGCGGUCUGUCAAGUCGGAUGUGAAAUCCCCGGGCUCAACCUGGGAACUGCAUUCGAAACUGGCAGGCUAGAGUCUUGUAGAGGGGGGUAGAAUUCCAGGUGUAGCGGUGAAAUGCGUAGAGAUCUGGAGGAAUACCGGUGGCGAAGGCGGCCCCCUGGACAAAGACUGACGCUCAGGUGCGAAAGCGUGGGGAGCAAACAGGAUUAGAUACCCCUGUAGUCC
rnacentral:rRNA from 1 species